rnacentral:rRNA from 1 species
CUCCUGGAAACGGGUGGCAAUGCCGGAUGUUCCACAUGAGCGCAUGCGAGUGUGGGAAAGGCUUUUUGCGGCAUGGGAUGGGGUCGCGUCCUAUCAGCUUGUUGGUGGGGUAACGGCCUACCAAGGCGUUGACGGGUAGCCGGCCUGAGAGGGCGACCGGCCACAUUGGGACUGAGAUACGGCCCAGACUCCUACGGGAGGCAGCAGUGGGGAAUAUUGCACAAUGGGCGCAAGCCUGAUGCAGCGACGCCGCGUGCGGGAUGGAGGCCUUCGGGUUGUAAACCGCUUUUGUUCAAGGGCAAGGCACGGUUUCGGCCGUGUUGAGUGGAUUGUUCGAAUAAGCACCGGCUAACUACGUGCCAGCAGCCGCGGUAAUACGUAGGGUGCAAGCGUUAUCCGGAUUUAUUGGGCGUAAAGGGCUCGUAGGCGGUUCGUCGCGUCCGGUGUGAAAGUCCAUCGCUUAACGGUGGAUCCGCGCCGGGUACGGGCGGGCUUGAGUGCGGUAGGGGAGACUGGAAUUCCCGGUGUAACGGUGGAAUGUGUAGAUAUCGGGAAGAACACC